rnacentral:rRNA from 1 species
CAUAUCAAUAAGCGGAGGAAAAGAAACCAACAGGGAUUGCCUUAGUAGCGGCGAGUGAAGCGGCAAGAGCUCAAAUUUGAAAUCUGGUACCUUCGGUGCCCGAGUUGUAAUUUGAAGAAAGCAAUCUUUGAUUUGGCCCUUGUCUAUGUUCCUUGGAACAGGACGUCAUAGAGGGUGAGAAUCCCGUGCGAUGAGGUGUCCAUUUCUUUGUAAGAUGUUUUCGAAGAGUCGAGUUGUUUGGGAAUGCAGCUCAAAGUGGGUGGUAAAUUCCAUCUAAAGCUAAAUAUUGGCGAGAGACCGAUAGCGAACAAGUACUGUGAAGGAAAGAUGAAAAGAACUUUGAAAAGAGAGUGAAAAAGUACGUGAAAUUGUUGAAAGGGAAGGGUAUUUGAUCAGACUUGGUAUUUAGUUAUCAUUGCUUCUUUGGAGUGGUGCUCUAACUUUUUACUGGGCCAGCAUCAGUUUUGGUGGCAAGAUAAUGACAGUUGAAUGUGGCUCCUCGGAGUGUUAUAGCUUCUGUAGAUAUUGCCUACCGGGACUGAGGUCUGCGGCUUUGCCUAGGAUGCUGGCGUAAUGAUCUAAUACCGC